rnacentral:lncRNA from 1 species
GUAAUAAAUUACUGAUCUCUGCUCUGGGGAAACCGAGAGGAUGGGACAUUUCAUUUGAAGAAUGUAGGAAUGGCUGAGCUGAGAAGGCAUGGAAGGGCAUUGGAGACCCAGGGACCUGCAUAGACAAAGCAGUUGAGUUUCAUCUGGAAGAGAGGCCAUUGAAACCAAGCAUUUGUGUUCAAGUAAGAAAAUGUAUCCAAGUCACAAAGAAACAUAAUUUGGCUUUUGGAGACAUGAGCAGCUUCAUUUCUCAUUUGUUCAUUCGAAAGUCUCCACUGGGCUUCUGAGUGCCACAUCCUGUCCAGAAUGAUGAAAGAUACAGAAAAUGGUGCCUGCUGACCUUCUGGAGUUAUUGGCUAGUAAGAAAGCGCCAACACCCUCACUCAGCCGUGGUCCAGCCAGAAGACAAGGUCAGAUAAAACAACCAUAAAGAAAAAAAAAACCUUCUUCUAGAGUGGCUGGGAAUGAGGUCACCGUGAUGUCUUCCCCUGAAUCGGUGCCAUCGUGGUUUUGAAGUGUGACGGUCACUCAGCUCAGGAGUCCUCGCUAUGUGAGCCUGUCCACCACUAUUCACCCUUGGUGGAAGAAGACCCUGAGCACCCCAAAACAUGACAUCCUUAUUUUCAGGAACCUCUAACUGAAAUUGAGCCCUUCCUUUCUUUAUGAAUAUAGGCACUGUCUUAGUUCCCUGCGGCUGUGGUAACAAAGCGCCUCAAACUGGGUGGCUUAAAACACAGACAUUUGCUGUCUCAGGGCUCUGGAGGCUGGAAGUCUGAGACCAGAGUGUCACUGGGGUUGGUUCUUCUGAGGCUGUCAGGGAGAAUCUACUCCAGGCCCUCCCGCAGGCUCUGGGAGUGGCUGGCUGCCUUUGGCAUUCCUUGGCUGGGAGACACAAAGCCUUGAGCCCUGCCUUCCUCUUCACACUGUGUUUUCUCUGUUUGUGAGUCUGUGUCCAAAUUUCCCUGGAGAAAUACCCAUCAUAUGGGUUAGGGAUCCCCCAAUGACCUCACUGAAACUUAAUGUGGAGCCUGUCUCCAAAUAAGGUCACAUUCUGAGGUAUUGGUGGUGAGGACUUUAACAUGGGAGUUUUUUGGGAGGAGGCCCUCACCCACAGUAGUAGAACUUGUGACUUUGUCACCAAAAGAAAUCACUUAUUUUCACAUCGCACCGUAGUAGCAGUGGACAUCUCCAAAUACCGGCGAAGCUAGUCCUGCCUGCAAAGUUAAGGCAGUUUUUUUUAUCAGAUCUAGAGCUGGAAAUCAUUGUUAAAUGAGGCGAUGAGGAAGUGUGUAUAUUAUUCUGGCUCACUUUUAAAAAUAUUUUGAUCCAUUUAUUUCAACAUAAUUGAUUUCCCCUGUGAUUCUGUAUGUUUUGUAUUAUACAUGUAAAAACGUUAUUCAGAGGAGUUCACAGGCUUCACCCGACUGUGUUGAAAGGACCCAUGAUGUAAGGAUGUUUGUUGUGGGGGGUGCUUGUGGCUCCUUAACUGGCUCUGGAAAGAGCCUACUUCCCAUAGUGAACCCUGUGAGGUCCAAUUCUGUUCCUCCCCCUGGAGCUCCAAGAGAAGGUCAUUGUCCUUGUAGCAGCAGGUGCCCCCCCAAGCUGGGUUCUCACUGCAGGUGCCAGCGGGCUCUCAGUAGGUAUGACCUGGAUGUGAGUGGUGAGCCAGGAUUGAGGCACUCAGCACCUUCGACCACACUUCCCACUCUCCCUGGGGUUCAAGUCAGGCUAUGGAAAGUGUACACCCUGUUUGUCAUAUAACUGGAUGGGUGGUGGGCAGAACGCCUCUGGCAAGGUAGACCUUGAAGGCAAAACUGAGUUGAGGUUUGUUAGGACGGAAAUAAUUACUGCUGGGCAUGCAGCACUUCCCAACCGUUCUGUGAGGCAGGCAGUGUUAUUGCCAGUUUGGCACAAGGGCACAGGUGUAGAACACGUAAGUGCCCUGGGCCGUGCUACACCACCACUGUGUUUGAGCUGAGAUGUGAACCAGGGCCUUCUGAUUCCAAAUUCCUCAUUCCU